rnacentral:lncRNA from 1 species
UUAGAAAACUAAGAAGCGGCAGAUCUAAACGACCCUUUCCCCUCUCGGUCUUCAGCUCCUUCAUCGCACACACCCUGAGAAAGACAAUCGGAUUUUCCCCUCCCAAAAAAAAAAAGCUAAAGCUAGACUUAACAUUACCAGACGAGCUCCCCUUGAGAGAAAGUUGAAAAACGGCGUUAUUCAGGGAACGAAAAAAAAUGCAGAAAACAUUCUGCAAUUAAAAGGUAUCCGACGACCGAAAUUCGAACAGAUUUUUAGUUUCUGCCAUACUUUUGGUUUGAUUUUCUGGGGAUUUCAAGUUUAUUUUUGGGUUUGAAAUUGGAGUCACCGAAAUCGCUAUUGAUUUGCUAUUCUCUCUAUUGCUGAGUUUCAUGUUCUUUCCUAUUGCUUCAUUUCCUUUUCCUCGCAUACCAAGGUACCGCGCAAUCCUUAAAAUUGUAAUUGUUUGUCCUGAAUUAGAAAAAUAUUUGUUCUGUUGUGUUAUGUUCAGAAAUAGGAUUAUUGUAUAUCUUGAAAUGAAGGUAUCAAUUUCCUUGCUGAUUUCUCUUGGGAUUUAAACAGGUCAAAUACUUAUGAAACAUGUUUUUUUUUUUUCAUUUUGAGUUACUAAUUAAUUGUUGUUAGAUUGAGGACAGUUUGCUAAUUCUAUGGCUAGUUGUUCUUGUAUUCUUUUUAACUGUUAAAGAUUGAAG